rnacentral:rRNA from 1 species
GGAGCAAACAGGAUUAGAUACCCUGGUAGUCACGCUGUAAACGAUGUCGAUUUGGAGGUUGUUCCUGAGGAGUGGCUUCCGGAGCUAACGCGUUAAAUCGACCGCUGGGGAGUACGGCCGCAAGGUUAAAACUCAAAUGAAUUGACGGGGGCCCGCACAAGCGGUGGAGCAUGUGGUUUAAUUCGAUGCAACGCGAAGAACCUUACCUACUCUUGACAUCCAGAGAAUUUAGCAGAGAUGCUUUAGUGCCUUCGGGAACUCUGAGACAGGUGCUGCAUGGCUGUCGUCAGCUCGUGUUGUGAAAUGUUGGGUUAAGUCCCGCAACGAGCGCAACCCUUAUCCUUUGUUGCCAGCACAUUAUGGUGGGAAUUCAAAGGAGACUGCCGGUGAUAAACCGGAGGAAGGUGGGGAUGACGUCAAGUCAUCAUGGCCCUUACGAGUAGGGCUACACACGUGCUACAAUGGCGUAUACAAAGAGAAGCGACCUCGCGAGAGCAAGCGGAACUCAUAAAGUACGUCUAAGUUCGGAUUGGAGUCUGCAACUCGACUCCAUGAAGUCGGAAUCGCUAGUAAUCGUAGAUCAGAAUGCUACGGUGAAUACGUUCCCGGGCCUUGUACACACCGCCCGUCACACCAUGGGAGUGGGUUGCACCAGAAGUAGAUAGCUUAACCGCGAGGGGGGCGUUUACCACGGUGUGAUUCAUGACUGGGGUGAAGUCGUAACAAGGUAACCA